rnacentral:rRNA from 1 species
GAUGAACGCUGGCGGCGUGCCUAAUACAUGCAAGUCGAGCGAACAGACGAGGAGCUUGCUCCUCUGACGUUAGCGGCGGACGGGUGAGUAACACGUGGAUAACCUACCUAUAAGACUGGGAUAACUUCGGGACACCGGAGCUAAUACCGGAUAAUAUAUUGAACCGCAUGGUUCAAUAGUGAAAGACGGUUUUUCUGUCACUUAUAGAUGGAUCCGCGCCGCAUUAGCUAGUUGUUAAGGUAACGGCUUACCACGGCGACCAUGCGUAGCCGAAGUGCGAGGGGGGUAGGCGACAUUGGAGGGGAGACGGGGACAAUGGGACUAAGGGAGGGAGCAGAAGGGAACCUGACGCAAUGGGGGAAAGCAUGACGGAGCAAGGCGGCGUGAGUGAUGAAGGUGUUGGGAUCGGAAAAAUCUGUUAUUAGGGAAGAACAAAUGUGUAAGGAAAUGAGCAGGGCGUGACGGUACUGAAUCAGGAAGCCACGGCUAACUACGUG